CAAUAGCGUAUAUUAAAGUUGUUGCAGUUAAAAAGCUCGUAGUUGGAUUUCUGAUCGAGACAUCAGGUCGGGUCCGAGAGGAUCAUGUACUUUGAUUUGUUUUGAUCAUCCUUGGGGAGAGCAUUUCUGGCAUUCAGUUGUCGGGAUUGGGAUCCUCAUCGUUUACUGUGAAAAAAUUAGAGUGUUCAAAGCAGGCCUCGGCCUCUGAAUACAUUAGCAUGGAAUAAUAAGAUAGGGCUUUGGUGGUCUAUUUUGUUGGUUUGCACGCCAAAGUAAUGAUUAAUAGGGAUAGUUGGGGGUAUUCGUAUUCAAUUGUCAGAGGUGAAAUUCUUGGAUUUAUGGAAGACGAACUACUGCGAAAGCAUUUACCAAGGAUGUUUUCAUUAA
rnacentral:rRNA from 1 species